rnacentral:rRNA from 1 species
AAUCAACGCUGGCGGCGUGCCUAACACAUGCAAGUCGAACGCGAAAGCCCGCAAGGGUAAGUAGAGUGGCGCACGGGUGAGUAACACGUGGACAACCUGCCUUCGAGUGGGGAAUAACCUUCCGAAAGGAGGGCUAAUACCGCAUAACACCUCGGGACACAAGUUCUGGGGUUGAAAAGAGCAAUUUGCUCGAAGAGGGGUCCGCGCCUGAUUAGCUAGUUGGUGAGGUAACGGCUCACCAAGGCUUCGAUCAGUAGCCGUCCUGAGAGGGAGCACGGCCACACUGGAACUGAGACACGGUCCAGACUCCUACGGGAGGCAGCAGUGGGGAAUUUUGGCAAUGGGCGAAAGCCUGACCAAGCAACGCCGCGUGGGUGAUGAAGUAUCUUGGUACGUAAAACCCUUUCGGCAGGGACGAACCUAAUGACGGUACCUGCGGAAGAAGCCCCGGCUAAC